UACGGAGGGGGCGAGCGUUGUCCGAAUUUAUUGGGCGUAAAGCGCGUGUAGGCGGACUUCCAAGCCUGAGGUGAAAGGUUGGGGCUCAACCCCAUACAGUGCCUUGGGGACUGGUUGUCUGGAGGCAGGCAGAGGAGUGUGGAAUUCCUGGUGUAGCGGUGGAAUGCGUAGAGAUCAGGAAGAACACCCGUGGCGAAGGCGGCACUCUGGGCCUGUACUGACGCUGAGACGCGAAAGCGCGGGGAGCGAACGGG
rnacentral:rRNA from 1 species